rnacentral:lncRNA from 1 species
CUGGUUUCAGAGUGGUUGUUUACAGGUAUUGUACUAGGUUCAGAGUGGCAAGAUUGUACAGCAGUCUGAACUUUCGGCCAACCAUGGCUUAUGCUCACCAUUUUACUACUUGUUUUCCAGGAUCGUCAUCUUGGAGCAUUUCAGCUUGUGGGCCUCGGAGUCGGAGAUCUGUUGAAGAAGAAUGGGAAAGCGCAACCCCAACAAUGUCAAGAAGAGCAUCUGGCAGCUCCUCUGCGGCUGUGGGUCGCCUCACACCCGCAACUAAUCAAGAUCGGAAUUGUAUGGACGACAAAGCGAUAGGUCGCCAGAAGUUGCUUGAUGUCGAGUUUAAAAAGUGUAUGUGAUUAGAUAUUGCUGAGUUGUUUGGUUAAACUGGUUUGUAGUCGUGUGGUUGUAUCAGACUAGCUUCUCUCCUGCAGAAAUUACGGAGCCAUGUAAACGAGUUUCAUGUGAUGAGAUUCAGAAAUAAAUCUCCC